UACGUAGGGUGCAAGCGUUAUCCGGAAUUAUUGGGCGUAAAGAGCUCGUAGGCGGUUUGUCGCGUCUGCUGUGAAAACUGGAGGCUCAACCUCCAGCCUGCAGUGGGUACGGGCAGACUAGAGUGCGGUAGGGGAGAUUGGAAUUCCUGGUGUAGCGGUGGAAUGCGCAGAUAUCAGGAGGAACACCAAUGGCGAAGGCAGGUCUCUGGGCCACAACUGACGUGAGGAGCGAAAGCGUGGGGGAGCAACAGG
rnacentral:rRNA from 1 species